CCGGAAUCCCCGCCGUAGCCGCCCGCGGGCGUCCCCGAGGCCCCCAGUCCCCGGGCCCCUGCCACCCUAGCGCCGGCCCCACUCACCCUUUCAUUCUCCGCCCGCGGCCUGGCGUGGGCCGGCGAAUCCCCGGCCUCACAUCAGAGAGGCGCUGGCGGCGGACUAGGAAGCUCGGCUGCUACCGCUCUCGCCCUGGGCUUCAGCGGGAGCCUUUCCCUGUCGAACAAGAGGGGUGAGGAUCAUAUUUUUAUUUUGGGUCGGCGAUCAUUAGGGGGAAAUCCCUGAAUGUACUCUCCAGCCGAGAAGGCAGGGCUGCCCGGCUGCACUGGCAGGGGCAGCAGCCUCCUACAGCACCACUACAGGCACCGCGGGGACAUGACACCACGCAGCGGUCCUCUGCCCUCCGAAACGACAACUUUCCUACCAUCUUGGAGGCCGAGCAGAGAGGAGCUAAGGGGAAAAGUGCAACCGGCUGCGGAUAAAGUACAAAUCUCUACCUCUCCUCUCCGGAAAAAGUCCACACUCGCGGUCUACGCCGGCGCCUAGGGGGUCUGAAAAGCGGGGAAGAAAACAAGCAAGUUCAUUUGCUCCGUGGGGGGGGGGGAUGUUUCUGCACCUCUGAUGGGAAGAAAUCUUUACAAGACACAGGUUUUACGAUAUUAUUGUUUUCCAUUUUCAUUUUUCCCCCGGUGGUGACAGUGGUAGCUUAAUUUUUUUUUCUUCAGACUAAUUAUGAUUUUUCUCUGUGGCAGGCCCAAGUUCCGUCUGUGGUGGUCAGUCUGUAAAUUGGCACCUCAGAGACUUCAAGGUCACUUUAUCGUAUUUAUUUUGUUGCCCGUUUAUAUUGUAUGUGUGCGUGCUUAUGUUUUCAGGUUACAGUUAAGAUUUUGUGGUCUUGGUAUCCACGAAACUGAGGGUGCUGCAAGUCAGUUGUAAAGAGAUGUCUUUUGUCUUCUCUCAAAGCAAUGUAAGUCAAACCUAUUGACUGUCCAGAAAGACCUAAGAUAGCUGUUUAUUUUUUACAGUGCAAAUAAAAGCACCGUGUAUCCAAAGCGUCCUACAGCAGACCAAACCUGUGGUCUGUCUGCCCAAGAAGAAAGAUUACUCCACUAAACCUAGCGGUAGACUGAAAGAUGGUUUGGAUUUUCUUGAAGUAAAAUUAUUUAUUAAGAAUUACAUCUAGGAUGUCAUUUGCGUUACUUUCUUCAGUUUGUAUAGGUAGUUUAACGUUCAGGUCUUCGGUGCAUUAGGUACAGUUCUGUCUGCCUCUCUAACACAGAAUUGAAGGUGCGUUUGUCUUCCUAGUGUUGAAAUGUUCAGAACAUCCAGUGUAGUGCCAGCCUGUUGAGUAACUUUAUAGACUGCAGAGAUGUCAUGAAUUUACUUUUGGUUUUUUGAGUCCGGGUUUCUCUGUAGCUUUGGAACCUGUCCUGGAACUAGCUCUUGUAGACCAGGCUGACCCCGAGCUCACAGAGAUCCGCCUACCUCUGUCUCCAAGUGCUUAAAGUGAUUAAAGGCAUGCACCACCACCACCGGGCUAUGAAUUUACUUUUUUUUUUUUAGGUUCUGGGACUCAACACAAAACGAGGUGGACCUGGUCCAUGACUUCAUAUUCUAAUAUCUCUGUCUCUGUCUCCCAACACCAUCCCCGCCUGUCUGGUGACCAGCUGAUUUCAAUGAGCUGGACUGGAAAAAAGACAGUGACAAAGCAGGUGUGACUAGGUCAGACUGACAAGAGCCAGAGAUGUCUUUUUUUUGAUAGUUAUUGAGUUCCACAUUUUUCUCUGCUCCCCUCCCUGCCUCUCCUCCCACAAGGUCCCCAUGCCCCCAAUUUACUCAGGAGAUCUUGUCUUUUUCUACUUUCUACUUCCCAUGUAGAUUAGAUCUAUGUAAGUCUCUCUUAGUGUCCUCAUUGUUGUCUAAGUUCUCUGGGAUCGUGGUUUGUAGGCUGGCUUUCUUUGCUUUAUGUUUAAAAACCACUUAUGAGUAAGUACAUGUAAUAAUUGUU